rnacentral:lncRNA from 10 species
GGCAGAGCCCGGCGGGGAGGCCCAGGAGCACUGGGUGCAUGAGGCCUGUGCCGUGUGGACCGGCGGCGUCUACCUGGUGGCCGGGAAGCUCUUUGGGCUGCAGGAGGCCAUGAAGGUGGCCGUGGACAUGAUGUGUUCCAGCUGCCAAGAAGCCGGGGCCACCAUUGGGUGCUGCCACAAAGGAUGCCUCCACACCUACCACUACCCGUGUGCCAGCGAUGCAGGUACGAGCCCGCCCAGGAACAGGAGGGCAUUGGAGCCCAUCCAAGCAGUCCAGGGGGACCCUCCCUGGGCACAGCUCCCCAAACCCAGGCCCCAUCUCACUCUUCAGUUUCCCUCCUCUCUUGCCCCAGCAAUUCUUUUAUCCUUCUGUCUGCCUAGACCUCUGCUGGGCAAUGCCAGGGACAUGGAAAUGAGGCAUUCCCCAGGCACCUGCUUGAGGAGUGCCCAGAGCAGUGAGGGAAGAUAGAAGCAUAAAUUACAAUGUGG